GAGGCGGCCGCGCUGCGCCGCGCCGCGGACGAGCGCCAGCGCGCGCUCGACGACACGCGGCAGCUGCUCAGCGCAGAGCACGAAGACCGCGAGCGCUGUUCGCGCGAAUGUUCGGAUUUGAAGGUUCGCGUAGCGAUGGGCGCGGCGGAGACGGCCACGCUGAAAGCUGUGGUGGAAGAGCUGCGCGCUGCGCUGGCCCGCCUCGACGCGCAGCUCCGCGUCACCAAGGAACAGCUGGAGUGGUGGCCGAGACCGCUCACCAGAAUGCUGGGUAUGGCAAGAUCAUGGCUCCGGCAUCCGAUGUCGAUGCCAGAGGCCAUCUUUUGGACAUUGAUUCCCGCCCGACAAGGCUGUUGAUAAUGUGUUGGCAAAAAAGCGAGUUGACUACCAGGUAAAUGCGCAGAAACCCCAUAGUUAAAUGUAACAUAAUAUCAUAAAAAGUAAACACCCCAUGUAAACAAGACAAAGACAUAAAAAGCAAGAUUAUUUAGCAAAUAAAAUUAUUGCAAUGUUAUCGCAUACAUAUUUAUAAUCUUAUGAUAGCUACUUAAAUAAAUGGAUAAAGAGGUAAUAAAUAGGUAUAUAAUAGAUGGUAGAAACACCAAAACAUACCGAUGACGAAUGAACAGUUGCAAUAAAUAUUCGGUAGGUAUUUGGUAAGUAUUUUUUAUCAUAACUAUUUUUAACGUUUAUGUAUGUAUUGUAGUGUGUUUUGUAAGUUUUAGAGUUUUAUAAGAAGUUAUCAUAUUGGUAGAAUGUUUAGCUUUAAUAAAUUAUGUUAUAUACUUAA